rnacentral:RNase_P_RNA from 4 species
GCAGUAUGCUGGGUAGAUGCUCUUUUGCUAGAAAUGGUGAAGGGGAGGAAAGUCCGAACAUCAAGUUUGCUAACACGAAAGUAGUUAGCAAAAUAGGGUAGCGGGUAACGCCCGUCUCCAGCUCCAAUUCUGAAACUGAAUCCAAGCAACAAAAAAUAAUAAGAAAAAUACUAUUCAUUUAGUGUUUCUAAAAUAUCAGUGUCAGAAUUGGGGCUGGAAGAGGUGCGAGCAGAGACGCGACUUCACGAAAGUGAAGAGAAUCUUGCUAACACUCGGUGUUAGCAAGAUUAGUCUUACGGUGACGUAAGAGUGAAACGGCAAAAUCCUUACCUUGAUGCAAGGCCGUAUCCAGCCCCACUUUUAUUAAAAGUGGGGCUGGAAGUGCCGCUUGACUCCAAGAGUAAUUUUGGAGCUAGAUAAAUAUCUAUCGUCCAGCCCCACUUUUUAUUUAAAAGUGGGGCUGGAUACAGAAUUCGGCUUAUAGGCAUACAAAUAAA